GGAUUAGAUACCCUGGUAGUCCUAGCCGUAAACGAUGGGCACUAGUUAGGGGCCCUCCUGUGGGGUCCCUGACGAAGCUAAUGUAUUAAGUGCCCCGCCUGGGGAGUAUGGUCGCAAGGCUGAAACUCAAAGGAAUUGACGGGGGCCCGCACAAGCGGUGGAGCAUGUGGUUUAAUUCGAUGCAACGCGAAGAACCUUACCUACACUUGACAUGCAGAGAACUUUCCAGAGAUGGAUUGGUGCCUUCGGGAACUCUGACACAGGUGCUGCAUGGCUGUCGUCAGCUCGUGCUG
rnacentral:rRNA from 1 species